rnacentral:rRNA from 1 species
UGGGGAAUUGUUCGCAAUGGGCGCAAGCCUGAUCCAGCCAUGCCGCGUGUGUGAAGAAGGCCUUCGGGUUGUAAAGCACUUUUGUUGGGGAAGAAAAGCAUCCGGUUAAUACCCGGGUGUUAUGACGGUACCCAAAGAAUAAGCACCGGCUAACUUCGUGCCAGCAGCCGCGGUAAUACGAAGGGUGCAAGCGUUACUCGGAAUUACUGGGCGUAAAGCGUGCGUAGGUGGUCUGUUAAGUCUGAUGUGGAAGCCCCGGGCUCAACCUGGGAAUGGCAUUGGAUACUGGCAGUCUAGAGUGCGGUAGAGGGUAGUGGAAUUCCCGGUGUAGCAGUGAAAUGCGUAGAUAUCGGGAGGAACAUCCGUGGCGAAGGCGACUACCUGGACCAGCACUGACACUGAGGUACGAAAGCGUGGGGAGCAAA